AAGAACAUCACAAUUGAGGAGUCGCCUGUUCAACCGAUCCCCGGCAGCAUUAUCUAGAGCUAGGAAUCCCUCUCUUGCUACGUUAUCUACAGCAAGGAAUUUCCAGUUUCCUCUGGGCAUGGACAUAGAUAUGAGACUUGAUAUAUUGGAGGCAUUAGAGGAAUUCAGUGAUAUGAGUAUGACGACUAGUCGCAUCCUUCAAGUUCAG
rnacentral:misc_RNA from 1 species